rnacentral:rRNA from 1 species
CACAAGCGGAGGAGCAUGUGGUUUAAUUCGAUGAUACGCGAGGAACCUUACCUGGGCUCGAACGUAAGAUGACUGUAGGUGAAAGCUUACAUCUCUUCGGAGCAUUUUACGAGGUGCUGCAUGGUUGUCGUCAGCUCGUGUCGUGAGAUGUUGGGUUAAGUCCCGCAACGAGCGCAACCCUUGCCUUUAGUUGCCAGCAGUUCGGCUGGGCACUCUAAAGGGACUGCCGGUGUUAAACCGGAGGAAGGUGGGGAUGACGUCAAGUCCUCAUGGCCUUUAUGACCAGGGCUACACACGUACUACAAUGGCCGAUACAAAGGGCAGCGACACUGCGAGGUGAAGCCAAUCCCGUAAAAUCGGUCUCAGUCCGGACUGGAGUCUGCAACUCGACUCCAUGAAGUUGGAAUCGCUAGUAAUCGUGGAUCAGCAUGCCACGGUGAAUACGUUCCCGGGCCUU